GGGAAGAUACCUCAAUGGUAGAGGCUAGACGAAAUAUAAAAAUGUGGGUUCGACCCCCACUCUUCCCA
rnacentral:tRNA from 1 species